rnacentral:tRNA from 2 species
GCGGAAAUAGCUCAAUUGGUAGAGCACCACCUUGCCAAGGUGGGGGUUGCGAGUUCGAGUCUCGUUUUCCGCUCCA